rnacentral:rRNA from 1 species
GAGUUUGAUCGUGGCUCAGAGCGAACGCUGGCGGCAGGCUUAAUACAUGCAAGUCGAGCGCCUGUAGCAAUACAGGAGCGGCAGACGGGAGAGUAACACGUGGGAACGUGCCCUUUGGUUCGGAGCAACACAGGGAAACUUGUGCUAAUACCGGAUAAGCCCUUACGGGGAAAGAUUUAUCGCCAAAGGAUCGGCCCGCGUCUGAUUAGCUAGUUGGUGGGGUAAGGGCCUACCAAGGCGACGAUCCAUAGCUGGUCUGAGAGGAUGAUCAGCCACACUGGGACUGAGACACGGCCCAGACUCCUACGGGAGGCAGCAGUGGGGAAUAUUGGACAAUGGGCGCAAGCCUGAUCCAGCCAUGCCGCGUGAGUGAAGAAGGCCUUCGGUUGUAAAGCUCUUCUACUGCGAAGAUGAUGACGGUAGCCAGAGAAGAAGACCCGGCUAA